rnacentral:rRNA from 1 species
GAUGAACGCUAGCUACAGGCUUAACACAUGCAAGUCGAGGGGCAGCGCAGUGUAGCAAUACACGGGCGGCGACCGGCGCACGGGUGCGUAACGCGUAUCCAACCUUCCCGUUACUCUCGGAUAGCCUUCCGAAAGGGAGAUUAAUACGAGAUGGUGUUCAGUUUCCGCAUGUUUACUGAACUAAAGAUUCAUCGGUAACGGAUAGGGAUGCGUGACAUUAGAUAGUUGGCGGGGUAACGGCCCACCAAGUCUACGAUGUCUAGGGGUUCUGAGAGGAAGGUCCCCCACACUGGAACUGAGACACGGUCCAGACUCCUACGGGAGGCAGCAGUGGGGAAUAUUGCACAAUGGGCGAAAGCCUGAUGCAGCGAUGCCGCGUGAGGGAAGAAGGUUUUAGGAUUGUAAAACCUCUGUUUUCAGGGGACGAUAAAUGACGGUACCUGAGGAGGAAGCUCCGGCUAACUACGUG